GCCUCCGAAGCUCAAUGGAUGAGCACCGGGUUCCGAACCCGAAGGCUGCACGUUCGACUCGUGCCGGAGGCGCCA
rnacentral:tRNA from 1 species